AUUCCCUGGAAAGUGGGUCUAGGUCGAGGCUGCUCUUUUGUGGGUGGGCGAGGGGUUCCAUCCCGGGGGUCGCUGGAGGCAGGGCUGCAUUAGAGGGUCGCGAGUGAAAGCAGGGAUGGAAGAAGGGUGCAGGCUGGGACUAACAUUGGAGAGACGCUCUUGGAAACUUUUUUUUUUUGCGGGGGGAGAUAGUCUCGCUGUGUCACCCAGGCUGGAGUGCAGUGGCGCGAUCUCGGCUCACUGCAACCUCCGCCUCCUGGGCUUAAGCCAUUCUCCUGCCUCAGCCUCCCGAGUAGCUGGGAUUACUGGCGCCCGGCUAAUUUUUGUAUUUUUAGUAGAGACCGGGUUUCACCAUGUUGGCCAGGCUGGUCUUGAACUCCUGAUCUCAGGUGAGCCGCCCUCCUCGGCCUCCCAAAGUGGUGGGAUUACAGGCGUGAGCCACCGCACCCGGCCCUUUUGGAACAUUUCUUGUCUCAAGGAGACAGUUAUAGGGAAAAGUCAAUGGGUGUGUGAAUGGGACAGCCUGGGUGUUCCCACAAUGGCAAGCCUUUCUGUGGGUUCUGCUUGGCCUCCGAGCCUAAUGAAGUCGGGUGCAAAGGAAACAGGUGUUCAAGACUCGUGAAAUGUUGAACGGGUGGGAUUUUUUUGCUUUCUAUUAUUUGAAUUUUAUUACUUGAAUUUUUACUAUAAGCAAAUUUUGCUUAAAGUAUUUGUGUAUUAAAUUUUUUAUUUCAUAGAAUAAAAGAGAUAAAACAAUAGGCUGUUUAAAGAUACAUAUGUUUUCUUGUCUUUAGUUCUCGAAGGAGGAUGGGGAGCCAGCACUUUCCAGGAAGUUGGGAGGAAAGUCUGGGGAACUCCCCAGCAGGUGUUCAGGAAAUAGGCUGGGGUGAAGUCACCAUGGACCCUAGCUGAGGGGUCCCUGGGGAAGGACUUGGUCAGCACAGGGAAACAAGCCCAGCCCACCGUCAGAGACAUGGUUGUGUCCUACUGAUUGAGAGGGAGGUUACAAGUGGCCUUCCCACAGUGGUCACCUACUGAACAGGCUAGGGCAGGAGGUGAGGAGAGGGAGGCCUGGGGAGGCCUAGGGUAUAGGGUCCUCAUCUAGAAAGGCAUCUGGAGGCAGAGGGGAUGAGGUUGGAGGGCAUGGGGUUUGCAGGAGGCAUCCCUUGAAGAGCCUCUGGUCCCCCUCUUUCUAUGUCCGGCCUUUUCUGGAGAAUAACGACCCCCCCACCCCCAGGAUGCCCCUGCUAUAGGAUCAGGCUCACCACAAUGGUAGCUUCUGGGCCCCCUAGUUUCUCUUUCUGUAGAGUGGCUGAGCCGGGAGGGAAGCCGUAGCCACAGUCCUCGCCUUACCUGGUGGAAUGAAUGCCUGGUGCCUAAAGGGGUUCUUCUGAGGCUAAGGGGCUAUGCAAUUGAAAAUCUCAUGGUUCACAGCUUGGCUCUGUCAUUGAUUGUUAUUGUUUAUUGAGCGCGUACUAUGUGCAAAACACUGUUGUGAGCUCUUUGCAUAUAUUGCUUCAUUAUUAGUUGUGGGGAUACAAGCAAGUCACAGUAUCUCUGACUUCAUUCAUUAAAUGGGAUAUCUAUUAAAUGGUAUUAUAGAAAUAUCACAAAGCCACGCUUCUCAAACUUCAAUGUACCUAUGAAUCCCCUGGGAACCUUGUUUAAAUGCAGAUUCUAAGGUCUAUACCAGGGCCCAAGAUGUUGCCUUUCCAGCAAGCUGCUGGGUGACGCUGAUGCUGUGGUCUAGGGGCCACAUUUUUGUUUUGUUUUGUUUUCCGUGACAUAGUUUCACUCUUGUUGCCCAGGCUGGAGUGCAACCCAGGCACGAUCCCAGCUAACUGCAACCUCUGCCUCCUGGGUUCAAGGGAUUCUCCCGCCUCAGCCUCCCAAGUACCUGGGAUUACAGGCACGCACAAGCAUGCCCAGCUAAUUUUUGUAUUUUUAGUAGAGACAGGGUUUCUCCAUGUUGGCCAGGCUGGUCUCGAACUCCUAACCUAGGUGAUCCUCCCUCCUUGGCCUCCCAAAGUGCUGGGAUUACAGGUUUGAGCCACCGCGCCCGGCCCUAGGGGCUACAUUUUGAGCAGCAAGAAUUUAGAGCAUCAGCUAUUGGCAGUUGGUAGACACUCAACAAAUUGAGUGAAUGAUUCAAUUCAUCCAUGUUAUGUGAAUGAUUAAAUGAGAUACUAGCUAAGAAACACACAUAAACUGUAAGUAUAUGCAAGUGCUAUGCAAGCAUAUGCAAUCAUCAUUCUAAGACAAAAAGGCUGAAUAAUCUGCCUGGAAAAGGCCAGCCUAGAAUAGUGACUCCACAGAGGAGUGGCUAGAAACCUGCUCCCAUACCAGGCUGCCUGGGUCCACAUCCCACCACUCAGCUGGGAGAGCCUGGGCAAGUAACUCACUCUUUCUGCAUCUCAGUUUCUUCAUCUGUAAAUUAU
rnacentral:lncRNA from 10 species